GCAGUAUGGAUAGCUCAGUUGGUUAGAGCGUGGUGCUGAUGAUGCCAAGGUUGCAGGUUUGAUCCCCAUAUGGGGCAGCUGCA
rnacentral:tRNA from 1 species